rnacentral:rRNA from 1 species
GUCGAGAAUAAUUCACAAUGGGGGCAACCCUGAUGGUGCAACGCCGCGUGGAGGAUGAAGGUCUUCGGAUUGUAAACUCCUGUCAUCCGGGAGCAAGACCUGGCCGUGAAUAGCGGACAGGGUUGAUAGUACCGGAAGAGGAAGGGACGGCUAACUUCGUGCCAGCAGCCGCGGUAAUACGAAGGUCCCGAGCGUUGUUCGGAAUCACUGGGCGUAAAGGGAGCGUAGGCGGCGCGGUAAGUCAGAUGUGAAAUCCUAGGGCUCAACCCUGGAACUGCAUCCGAUACUGCUGUGCUUGAGCAAUGGAGAGGUAGCCGGAAUUCUCGGUGUAGCAGUGAAAUGCGUAGAUAUCGAGAGGAACACUCGUGGCGAAAGCGGGCUACUGGACAUUUGCUGACGCUGAGGCUCGAAGGCCGGGGGAGCGAAAGGGAUUAGAUACCCGGGUAGUCC